rnacentral:rRNA from 1 species
AGUUGAUCAUGGCUCAGAACGAACGCUGGCGGCGUGGAUAAGACAUGCAAGUCGAGCGGGAUUUUUUCCUGUAGCAAUACAGGGAAAAGUCUAGCGGCGAACGGGUGCUUAACACGUGGGCAAUCUGCCGAGAAGUGGGGGAUAGCUCGCCGAAAGGCGAAUUAAUACCGCAUGUGAUUAGAGUGGACAUCCAUUCAAAAUCAAAGUCGGGGCAACCUGACGCUUCUUGAGGAGCCCGCGGCCUAUCAGCUAGUUGGUGAGGUAACGGCCCACCAAGGCUUUGACGGGUAGCUGGUCUGAGAGGACGACCAGCCACACUGGGACUGAGACACGGCCCAGACACCUACGGGUGGCAGCAGUCGAGAAUUUUUCUCAAUGGGGGAAACCCUGAAGGAGCGACGCCGCGUGGAGGAUGAAGGUCUUCGGAUUGUAAACUCCUGUCAUUUGGGAACAAUGCGUAAAUAUUAACUGUAUUUACGUUGAUAGUACCAGAAGAGGAAGAGACGGCUAACUCUGUGCCAGCAGCCGCGGUAAUACAGAGGUCUCAAGCGUUGUUCGGAUUCAUUGGGCGUAAAGGGUGCGUAGGCGGCGCGGUAAGUCGGGUGUGAAAUCUCGGAGCUUAACUCCGAAACUGCAUUCGAUACUGCCGUGCUUGAGGACUGGAGAGGAGACUGGAAUUUACGGUGUAGCGGUGAAAUGCGUAGAUAUCGUAAGGAAGACCAGUGGCGAAGGCGGGUCUCUGGACAGUUCCUG